AUAUAUAUAUAUAGACACAGUGAUGCUAUGGUAAUUAAGUGUAUGAUUUUUCACCUGUAUCGAGCAGUCAAAAUUAUUUCCAGGUCAGAGUGAAAUUCAUCCUCCACCUGGAUAGAUAAAAUGUUGAUUAAAUAGUUAGGUAAUAAUGGUAUGAAGUGACAGGUAUAUAUUCAAACACUAGAAGAUUACAAAAUUCAACUUGGUCAAAAAGGGAUCUUCUGUUUAUCUUUUGAACUAUAAUGGGUUUCAAUUCUUAUAUGGGUUUCAACUUCGGCUAGUACUUGCUAUUUAAGAAUAGAUCUGUCGAACUCUUCAAAUAAGUCUGAUGCUCAAUUGGCAAGUGGAUAUUCCGUGCCUGGACACGAUACUAUAGACUAGAAUUCGAUCUUGAAAGAGGAAAUAAUAGCCUUUUGUCUUGAUGUUUUUUUGGUCUGGGCUUAUAAAGACUCUCCUACAACCUUGAAUAAAUAACCUGAUGAAGCAUGUUAUAAACUUGACGACGUACAUAACCCUUCGGGGUUGUCCAGUUGAUUUGGAGUGGGAUCGAAUUCACCCUCAAUGCCUUCUGGGUUGAGCCUGUUGCACAUGACUUGCCUAGUGCGAUUUAUAUACGCUGUGUGAUUUGCAGGCUAUUGCACAUGAGGUUUACCCGGUGCGCAUAGAGUCCUCGCCCAAAUGGUAGAGGAUGUGAUCGACACCAACUUUAUUGUGGUGUCUUCAAAGAAGUAAAACCACUAAAAGCUCACAGGAAGCAUUAAAAAAAAGUGAAAAGUGAAUUCUUGUGCUUCUAAUUACCUCAUUGUCAUCGUUUACACCAGGGGUGGCAAACGGGAUACCAUUUACGGAAACGUUAUAAGGUUAUAAAUUAGCGAAAGCAUAUAAUUAUGAUUUGCUGACAAAAAAAUCAUAAAGCGAAGUCCAAAACGGGAUUAUCCUAAGAAAAUGAACAUGUUAUAAUAGCAGUAGAUUCCCUACAUAACUACACCAAAUUUGUACAAAUGGUGAAAGAAGAAAAAACACACCAAAGUCAGCAAGUAAUAUAAAUAAUAGUUGAACGCCAAAUCAAAGUAAAAGGAUGUGCUACCAAAAAGAAAGAAAAUACAUAGUUACUAGAAUUAAUAGCAAUUUAACUCACUCACCAGAAACGGAAACACAGCUAGUAGAAAGGCCGCCACGAUCCGCCGGAGCUUGCAGAGAGAAACGACAUCCCUUAUCACCCUGAAAAUUAAAGAGAGAAACCAACAAAAGACCAGAGAAAUGACUUAAGUCAACGUCAACGAUAAUGCUAUAUUCAAUACUACUACCAAAGCCGUAGCCGGAGCCCUCCACUUCCAACCAAGAGAUUGUGAGUUCGAAUCACUCCAAUAGCAAGGUGAAAAAUUCUUGGAGGGAGGGAGCUGAUGGUCUAUCGGAAACAGCCUCUCUACCCAGGAGAGGGAUAAAGUCUGCGUACACACUACCCUUCUCAAACUCCACUAUUAAAAUUAUAUUGGGUUAUUGUUGUUGUAUAUGAUCAGAAGCAUCACAUGCCUACUGACCGCGGGUCACACAUGACAAAUAUAAUAAUGGCAGAGGUCAUCAGUCAUCAGUCAUCACUAACGUACGAACUAUAAAUAACGCUAAUAUAUAGAAUAUGAAAACUUUUUUGUCCAAGCAUGCCUAACCAAAUUAAGCACCAACUCACUUCAUUUAUUCUUUCCUUGGAGUUGAUAAUAAAAUCGACGUACGUAGAUAUAUAUCCAGCUCUUUGAAUUAAUUAACCUGUAUUUCAACUUAUAAUGUGAAAGAAUUACAAGUUUUGAACGGGUUAAUUUACCUGGUAAAAGGUGGCCUAGAGUUGCUUGUUUCGCUCUUGUAAUUUCCUUCUUCUCUACGAAUAUUACCAUCUUCGAACACUAAGAUUUGUUCCAUCAACUCUUUCCCAAAAAAGAACCAACAAAACGAAUGCUAUAAUCUAUGCCAGAUAAUGCGUGCAGGCCAUCUGAGAUAUGGUUCUUUUUAUAUUGACGGUUUUAGAAUGGUGCCAAAAUAAAAUAAAAAAAAUGGGUGCCAAAAAAUAAAUUACGUGCCUCUUUCCUAUCUAGCUUUGUGAAAGACGCGUAAUGACGGCCCAAUUUUCCUCCCUUAAAGUCGUAAUAGUAGGAAGCUCAGUGGCAAAAAUGCUUAUUGUGAGUUACUCUUUUUAUUUUCGUUUUUCAAAAUUAAUAAUCAUAUGAUAAGAGGCUUCAUAUGCCUUCCUAGGUGCAAAUCACAACUUUUGGGGAGUAUGAAUAGUUUACUUGUGCAACCGGAUUUAAAUAGUCAUUCAAAUAAUUUACUAAAUUUGAAAAAAAUAAAAGUGCUAAUAAAGAAGGCCAAGCUUUAGAUACGAGGUGUUAAUCGCCCCCCCAUGAUAUUUUAGUUGGUGUGAACAUUAAUAUAAUGGUUGAUUUUUUAAUAUUUUCUUCAUGUCUUAUGGUUAGGGGUGUGCAUGGACUGUAUUGGUUCGAAUUUUAAAAUCAAACCAACUAUAUCAGUUUGGAUUGGUUCGGUUUUGUCGGAUUUUGUUGGGUUUUCAGAUUUUUUGUUACAUGAAUAUUAUUUCAAUCUUACUUUAUUAAAGUUAUAGAUAAAGUCUUGAUAAGUGAAUAUAUGUUUACUGAAAAUUUUAAAAAAAUAAACAAACAUAUGAUCUAUUAAAGUAUUCUUAUGGAAAAUAUUUUUUUAGUAACACAUGAUAGUUUACUGAGCUGAUUGGAUGGUUAAAUUGUUCUAACUCAUAAGUCAUUAUUUAUUUUAGUUUGUCAAUAUUUUAGUAUUAAAUUAGUUCCAUUGUAUGAGUACGUCUGAUUUAUGACAUGUAAUCCAAUCGAUGUCGGACACUCUAACCUUUUGACUUUUAAUUACUGUAAAUACGGAAUUAAAUAUAUUGUCUAGUUUGACAAAAGAUUCACUUAUGGCUACAUAUAUAUCUCACACUGUAAUUAAAGUUUCUAAUUUUCGUACGACACUCUUUUAAAAUGGUUCUCGAUGCUUUACGUGAUAUAUUAUGGACAAAGAGGCAGACUGAGGGAGUAUUAACCCCACCUAAGUAGGUGAAUGAUACCAUAACUACAAAAAAAAAAUAGCCUAUUUGUGGAGGGUAUUUUUACGUUUUGCGGCGGUCAGCGACCCUCAUUAAUUGAUGUUGCUGCGGUCUUCAAAACCCCAGCUGUAAGAUUCGCCGCUAUCAUUUUGUGGCAGUUUUUUACAGUCCGCCAUAACCAUUUAAUGGAGGUUAUUUUCCGGCGGUUUAACCCCCACAGACUAAAAUUAUAUAGCAUUUACUAUGCCAAAUGUAAAUUAUGUUCUCUGAUUGUACAAAUCUCUGGGCUGUCCCUUGGUCAAGUAUUUGGGCAGUGGGUACAUAAACCAUAUAACUAUAGUUGGAACAAAACUUUAAUAAGCAAAUGUGUAAGUUAAAUAUACGAACAAAUCUUCUUUUGCUUAGAAUAAAUUUUUGCAGUAUAAGUUACAGUUAACGAAUUCUCUGAUGAUCAUUGAUUUCAUUGAUUGUAAACCUUCGUUUCCAUUGCUAUUACAAAUUUUUCAGCGCAAGAGACAAAAGAAGAAGAUUUUCAGCUUGUUUUGUCUUCAACAGAAAUUUUUCUAGCUUAACUACCCAAUACUAUAAUAAUUACAGGAGUUUUGAAGUAGAGGAAAAAACCUCCUUCUUCUAUAAUAAAAAAGGAACAGAGAUAACCUAAAUCAAAUCGCGUGCAAAAACUACUAAAAUUGGAGCAGAGAGAACCAAAAUUAAAUCAUGUACAGAAACUACUGAAAUUCGGAUAUUACGAAAACAUAAUAAAAACCCUAAUUUGACCUUUCAACAGAUUAGGAAGGAGAGGACAGAGAGCUCCAAUUCGAGUUGUACCUUUUGCUAGGAGAUUCAGCUACAAGCACACUUCAAAAGCAAUUGCUGAAAUUCACAUUACACAAUUAAAAUCGCACAGAUAUCAAACUUAGAGGAAUUAAAAUCGGAUAUAAAAAUCGCACAGAUAAAUUACUUAAAAUAAUGAUAAUUCAAAUAAUGGGAGAUUAAAGAGAGAAGGAGAACUUGCCAUUUCAGAAGAGAGAAAGAAUUUCUCUUAACCCUAAAUCGUUAGAAUGAAGGAGAGUUGUGAGAAAGAUGAGUGAUUUUUUUAGGGCUUUUUUUAUCAAGCUUAAAAGAAAAGACCGAAUAAAAAGAGGGAAAGGUCAAAAUAAUGAAGGAAAUAUUGUGCUUGUUAGCGCCUUUUUUUAACU
rnacentral:lncRNA from 1 species